rnacentral:rRNA from 1 species
AUUGAACGCUGGCGGCAUGCCUUACACAUGCAAGUCGAACGGCAGCACGGGUGCUUGCCCCUGGUGGCGAGUGGCGAACGGGUGAGUAAUACAUCGGAACAUGUCCUGUAGUGGGGGAUAGCCCGGCGAAAGCCGGAUUAAUACCGCAUACGAUCUACGGAUGAAAGCGGGGGACCUUCGGGCCUCGCGCUGUAGGGUUGGCCGAUGGCUGAUUAGCUAGUUGGUGGGGUAUAGGCCAACCAAGGCGACGAUCAGUAGCUGGUCUGAGAGGACGACCAGCCACACUGGGACUGAGACACGGCCCAGACUCCUACGGGAGGCAGCAGUGGGGAAUUUUGGACAAUGGGCGAAAGCCUGAUCCAGCAAUGCCGCGUGUGUGAAGAAGGCCUUCGGGUUGUAAAGCACUUUUGUCCGGAAAGAAAUCCUUGGCCCUAAUACGGUCGGGGGAUGACGGUACCGGAAGAAUAAGCACCGGCUAACUACGUG